rnacentral:rRNA from 1 species
GACGAACGCUGGCGGCGUGCUUAACACAUGCAAGUCGAACGGAAAGGCCCCUUUGGGGGUACUCGAGUGGCGAACGGGUGGGUAACACGUGAGUAACCUGCCCUUGACUUCGGGAUAACUUCAGGAAACUGGGGCUAAUACCGGAUAGGAAUCCUUACUGCAUGGUGGGGGUUGGAAAGCUUCGGCGGUUUUGGAUGGACUCGCGGCUUAUCAGCUUGUUGGUGGGGUAGUGGCUUACCAAGGCUUUGACGGGUAGCCGGCCUGAGAGGGCGACCGGCCACAUUGGGACUGAGAUACGGCCCAGACUCCUACGGGAGGCAGCGGUGGGGAAUAUUGCAAAAUGGGCGGAAGCCCGAUGCAGCAACGCCGCGUGCGGGAUGACGGCCUUCGGGUUGUAAACCGUUUUCAGCAGGGGCGAAGCUUGUGGUGACGGUACCUGCAGAAGAAGCACCGGCUAACUACGUG